rnacentral:rRNA from 1 species
GACGAACGCUGGCGGCGUGCCUAAUACAUGCAAGUCGAACGCACUCUCGUUUAGAUUGAAGGAGCUUGCUCCUGAUUGAUAAACAUUUGAGUGAGUGGCGGACGGGUGAGUAACACGUGGGUAACCUGCCCUAAAGUGGGGGAUAACAUUUGGAAACAGAUGCUAAUACCGCAUAAAACCUAACAUCGCAUGGGUGUAGGGUUGAAAGAUGGGUUUCGGCUAUCACUUUAGGAUGGACCCGCGGUGCAUUAGUUAGUUGGUGAGGUAAAGGCUCACCAAGACCGUGAUAGCAUAGCCGACCUGAGAGGGUAAUCGGCCACACUGGGACUGAGACACGGCCCAGACUCCUACGGGAGGCAGCAGUA